AACGUAGGUGGCAAGCGUUAUCCGGAUUUACUGGGCGUAAAGCAUGUGCAGACGGGUUGGUAAGUGGUGUAUGAAAGCGUCCGGCUUAACCGGGCAAGCGUAGGCCAGACUGCCAGUCUUGAGAGUGGGAGAGGGAUGUGGAAUUCCGGGUGUAGUGGUGAAAUGCGUAGAGAUGUGGAGGAACACCGAUGGCGAAGGCAGCCCCCUGGGCUAACACUGGACGCUCAGGCACGAAAGCGUGGGGAGCGAACAGG
rnacentral:rRNA from 1 species